GGUGGAGGGAAGCUCAUCAGUGGGGCUACGAGCUGAGUGCGUCACGUCACUCUGUAGCGCGUCCCUUGGGAAGGUCUGAGACUAGGGCCAACGGCGGCCCUAACAGGGCCCUCCCUGAGCGCGGGGAGGUGAGUUCCCAGAGAGCGGGGCUCCGCGCGAGGGUAGACUGGGCAGGAGAAGCCCGGGCCUCCCGCGGAGGACCUGGCGGAUGCCCCCUUAGCCGGAGCUUGGAACAGACUCACGGCCGGCGCAGUGAGUUCAAUGGCUGAGGUGAGGCACCCCCGGGGCCUCAUAACCCAAUUCAGACUACUCUCCCCCGCC
rnacentral:RNase_P_RNA from 1 species